CAACGUGGAGAUGAGCGAUGACUUGCCUGGGGAUGAGAAAAUAGGAUGAAGGAGGAAGAAGAUGGAGAGAUAAAAGAGGAAUAAGAUAGAGGGGAGGACUAAGGGAAAUAGGUUAGGUCAGGUUAGGUUAGGUGAGGAGAAGGGAAAUGUAAGUUAGGUUAGGUCGGGUUAGGGGAGGAAAAGGGAAAUGUAGGUUAGGUUAGGUUAGGUGAGGAAAAUGGAAAUGUAAGUUAGGUUAGGUCGGGUUAGGGGAGGAAAAGGGAAAUGUAGGUUAGGUUAGGUUAGGUUAGGUUAGGUGAGGAAAAGGGAAAUGUAGGUUAGGUUAGGUUAGGUUAGGUGAGGUUAGGUUGGGUUAGGUGAGGAAAAGGGAAAUGUAGGUUAGGUUAGGUUAGGUGAGGAAAAGGGAAAUGUAGGUUAGGUGAGGAAAAGGGAAAUGUAGGUUAGGUUAGGUUAGGUGAGGAAAAGGGAAAUGUAGGUUAGGUUAGGUUAGGUGAGGAAAAGGGAAAUGUAGGUUAGGUUAGGUUAGGUGAGGAAAAGGGAAAUGUAGGUUAGGUUAGGUUAGGUGAGGAAAAGGGAAAUGUAGGUUAGGUUAGGUUAGGUGAGGAAAAGGGAAAUGUAGGUUAGGUUAGGUUAGGUGAGGUUACGAAUAAGGGAAAUAUGGGUUAGCCUUUUUUAAUCAAGUUACAAGAGGUAUGGAAUGGAUGGAGAGGAGGAGUGAAGGAAAUAUGAUAAAGAAAGGAGAAUGCUAUGAACAAAAAUGAAAGAUGGAAAAGAAUGGUUGAAGGAAGAAGGAAAAGGAGGGAGAUAUGAUGAAGGAAGGAAUGAUAUGGACAAGAGGAAUGAAGGAAAUAUGAGUUACCCAGAGAAAUAGUGUGAAAUGGAGAGCAGAUAUGAGUUAAAUCUAUCUUAAGUUACAGAAGCAAAAGAAACCCUAAGAAAUAGAAGGAAAAAAAAGAGUAAAUACAGUAAACAAAGAAGGAAAAAAAGAAGGAAAAGAAUGGAAAAAGACUGUGAAAUAAGAGAGAGAACAUGAGUUAAAUCUAUCUUAAGUUACAGAAGCAAAAGUUACCCUGAGAAAUAGAAGGAAAAAAAGAGAGUAAAUACAGUAAACAAAGAAGGAAAGAAAGAAGGAAAAUAAUGGAAAAAGACUGUGAAAUAAGAGAGAGAAUAUGAGUUAAAUCUAUCUUAAGUUACAGAAGCAAAAGAAACCCUAAGAAAUAGAAGGAAAAAAAGAGAGUAAAUACAGUAAACAAAGA